AGAGUUUGAUCCUGGCUCAGGAUGAACGCUAGCGGCAGGCUUAACACAUGCAAGUCGAGGGGUAACAGGAAUAGCUUGCUAUUUGCUGACGACCGGCGCACGGGUGCGUAACGCGUAUACAAUCUACCUUUUGCUGAGGGAUAGCCCAGAGAAAUUUGGAUUAAGACCUCAUGGUAUUACAGAACUGCAUGGUUUAGUAAUUAAAGGUUACGGCAAGAGAUGAGUAUGCGUCCUAUUAGCUAGAUGGUAAGGUAAUGGCUUACCAUGGCAACGAUAGGUAGGGGCCCUGAGAGCGUGAUCCCCCACACGGGUACUGAGACACGGACCCGACUCCUACGGGAGGCAGCAGUAAGGAAUAUUGGACAAUGGGCGCAAGCCUGAUCCAGCCAUCCCGCGUGCAGGAUGACGGCCCUAUGGGUUGUAAACUGCUUUUAUUAGGGAAGAACGGCCGAGAUUUAUCUUGGUAUGACGGUACCUAAGGAAUAAGCACCGGCUAACUCCGUGCCAGCAGCCGCGGUAAUACGGAGGGUGCGAGCGUUAUCCGGAAUUACUGGGUUUAAAGGGUGCGUAGGCGGCCCUGUAAGUCAGAGGUGAAAGGCCACGGCUCAACCGUGGAAUUGCCUUUGAUACUGUGGGGCUUGAAUCGGGCUGAGGUAUGCGGAAUGUGGCAUGUAGCGGUGAAAUGCAUAGAUAUGCCAU
rnacentral:rRNA from 1 species